AUCAUAGAGGAAAAUCCACAUU
rnacentral:miRNA from 1 species